rnacentral:piRNA from 1 species
UUGGUAAUUAAAAAAAAAUAA